rnacentral:rRNA from 1 species
GUCUUUGACCUCGGAUCAGGUAGGGAUACCCGCUGAACUUAAGCAUAUCAAUAGG